AUUGAACGCUGGCGGCAGGCCUAACACAUGCAAGUCGAGCGAGCGGCGGACGGGUGAGUAAUGUCUGGGAAACUGCCUGCUGGAGGGGGAUAUCUACUGGAAACGCUGGCUAAUAUCGCAUACCCUAUGAUGUGCCCCGAUGGGAUGAGCUCGUAGGUGGGGUAACGGCUCACCUAGGCGACGAUCCCUAGCUGGGCUGAGAGGAUGACCAGCCACACUGGAACUGAGACACGGUCCAGACUCCUACGGGAGGCAGCAGUGGGGAAUAUUGCAGAAUGGGCGCAAGCCUGAUGCAGCCAUGCCGCGUGUGUGAAGAAGGCCUUCGGGUUGUAAAGCACUUUCAGCGGGGAGGCGUUACCCGCAGAAGAAGCACCGGCUAACUCCGUGCCAGCCGCCGCGGUAAUAC
rnacentral:rRNA from 1 species